UGGGGAAUAUUGCGCAAUGGGGGAAACCCUGACGCAGCAACGCCGCGUGGGUGAAGAAGGCCUUCGGGUUGUAAAGCCCUUUCGGCUGGGAAGAAGUGAUUUGCGGUGAAUAAUCGCAGAUUGUGAUGGUACCAGAGGAAGAAGCACCGGCAAACUUCGUGCCAGCAGCCGCGGUAAUACGAAGGGUGCGAGCGUUGUUCGGAAUUAUUGGGCGUAAAGGGUUCGUAGGCUGGAAUGUAAGUUGAGUGUGAAAACCCCGGGCUUAACCUGGGACGUGCACUCAAAACUGCGUUUCUUGAGUAUCAGAGAGGGUGGUGGAAUUGCUGGUGUAGGAGUGACAUCCGUAGAGAUCAGCAGGAACGCCGGAGGCGAAAGCGACCACCUGGCUGAAGACUGACGC
rnacentral:rRNA from 1 species